rnacentral:rRNA from 1 species
GACGGAGGGUGCUAGCGUUGUUCGGAAUGACUGGGCGUAAAGGGCGCGUAGGCGGCUCGUGAAGUCGGGUGUGAAAGCCCGGGGCUCAACCCCGGAACGGCAUCCGAUACUGGCGGGCUUGAGACCGGGAGAGGAGGGUGGAAUACCCAGUGUAGAGGUGAAAUUCGUAGAUAUUGGGUGGAACACCGGUGGCGAAAGCGGCUACUCGUGGUCCGGACCUGACGCUGAGGCGCGGAAAGCG